rnacentral:rRNA from 1 species
UACGGGGGGGGCGAGCGUUGUCCGGAUUUAUUGGGCGUAAAGAGCACGUAGGUGGGGUGGUCAGUCGAAGGUGAAAACCCAUGGCUUAACUAUGGGCCUGCCUCCGAUACUGCCACUCUUGAGUACGGAAGAGGGAAGUGGAAUUCCUGGUGUAGCGGUGAAAUGCGUAGAUAUCAGGAAGAACACCGGUAGCGAAGGCGGCUUCCUGGUCCGUUACUGACGCUGAGGUGCGAAAGCGUGGGGAGCAAACAGGAUUAGAUACCCGCGUA